UCUUUAGGGUAACACCCGUUCCCAUUCCGAACACGACGGUUAAGCCUUUAGAAGCCGAUGGUACUGCACGGGAGACUGUGUGGGAGAGUAGGU
rnacentral:rRNA from 1 species